rnacentral:rRNA from 2 species
GGGUUGUGAGGUUAAGCGACUAAGCGUACACGGUGGAUGCCCUGGCAGUCAGAGGCGAUGAAGGACGUGCUAAUCUGCGAUAAGCGCCGGUAAGGUGAUAUGAACCGUUAUAACCGGCGAUUUCCGAAUGGGGAAACCCAGUGUGAUUCGUCACACUAUCAUUAACUGAAUCCAUAGGUUAAUGAGGCGAACCGGGGGAACUGAAACAUCUAAGUACCCCGAGGAAAAGAAAUCAACCGAGAUUCCCCCAGUAGCGGCGAGCGAACGGGGAGGAGCCCAGAGCCUGAAUCAGCAUGUGUGUUAGUGGAAGCGUCUGGAAAGGCGCGCGAUACAGGGUGACAGCCCCGUACACAAAAAUGCACAUGCUGUGAGCUCGAUGAGUAGGGCGGGACACGUGGUAUCCUGUCUGAAUAUGGGGGGACCAUCCUCCAAGGCUAAAUACUCCUGACUGACCGAUAGUGAACCAGUACCGUGAGGGAAAGGCGAAAAGAACCCCGGCGAGGGGAGUGAAAAAGAACCUGAAACCGUGUACGUACAAGCAGUGGGAGCACCCUUUGGGGUGUGACUGCGUACCUUUUGUAUAAUGGGUCAGCGACUUAUAUUCUGUAGCAAGGUUAACCGUAUAGGGGAGCCGGAGGGAAACCGAGUCUUAACCGGGCGUUAAGUUGCAGGGUAUAGACCCGAAACCCGGUGAUCUAGCCAUGGGCAGGUUGAAGGUUGGGUAACACUAACUGGAGGACCGAACCGACUAAUGUUGAAAAAUUAGCGGAUGACCUGUGGCUGGGGGUGAAAGGCCAAUCAAACCGGGAGAUAGCUGGUUCUCCCCGAAAGCUAUUUAGGUAGCGCCUCGUGAACUCAUCUCCGGGGGUAGAGCACUGUUUCGGCUAGGGGGCCAUCCCGGCUUACCAACCCGAUGCAAACUGCGAAUACCGGAGAAUGUUAUCACGGGAGACACACGGCGGGUGCUAACGUCCGUCGUGAAGAGGGAAACAACCCAGACCGCCAGCUAAGGUCCCAAAGUCAUGGUUAAGUGGGAAACGAUGUGGGAAGGCCCAGACAGCCAGGAUGUUGGCUUAGAAGCAGCCAUCAUUUAAAGAAAGCGUAAUAGCUCACUGGUCGAGUCGGCCUGCGCGGAAGAUGUAACGGGGCUAAACCAUGCACCGAAGCUGCGGCAGCGAACGUAUCACUUAAAGCGAUUCAGCGGGUUACGAUUGACGGAGCGAAGCGACGUCAAAGCGUAUACAAAGUCGAGUCGGUUUA